AAGGUGGUCUCUACAUGUAAGCUACUGUUUGGAGAUGAGCCCGCGUACCAUUAGCUUGUUGGUAGGGUAAUGGCCUACCAAGGCCGCGAUGGUUAGCUGGUCUGAGAGGAUGAUCAGCCACACUGGAACUGACACACGGUCCAGACUCCUACGGGAGGCAGCAGUGAGGAAUUUUGCGCAAUGGGGGAAACCCUGACGCAGCAACGCCGCGUGAGUGAUGAAGGCUUUCGGGUCGUAAAGCUCUGUCAAGUGGGAAGAACCUGCUCGAUGCUAAUACCAUCUAGCACUGACGGUACCACUAAAGGAAGCACCGGCUAACUCCGUG
rnacentral:rRNA from 1 species